UGCGCAGUGAGUGAUAUAAUAUACCGGCCUACAUAUUUGGCGUCUUGUUAAAAGACCUGACAUUGUACCUGCGCAGUGGGUGAUUUAUCGAUGUAUGACUAGAGCACAUGUAAUGACCAGAAGAGGUGAAGU